rnacentral:rRNA from 1 species
AUGUGCUUGUCCAUGCGGCCCCUCCGGAUGAGCGCCGGGUCCAGCUUCUCCAGGUGGUUGGUGGUGAACACGAUGACCCGCUCGCCGCCGCACGCCGACCACAGCCCGUCGAUGAAGUUGAGCAGGCCCGACAGCGUCACCUUGCUGCUCGCGUCCGCCGCGCCCUUCUUGUCGCCCUUGCUGGCCUUGUCCUCGUCCUCUGGGCGCGCGCCGGUGAGGUCGAGGGAGCAGUCGAUGUCCUCGAUCACGAUGAUGGACUUGCUGGUGGUGCCGAUGAAGAGCUUGCGGAGGUCCGUGUUGGAGUGCACGGAAGUGAGCUCGAUGUCGUACACGUCGUAG